UACGUAGGGAGCAAGCGUUGUCCGGAAUCAUUGGGCGUAAAGCGCGCGUAGGCGGCCUCAUAAGUCCGUUGUGAAAGUCAAAGGCUCAACCUUUGAAAGCCGAUGGAUACUGUGAGGCUAGAGUCCGGAAGAGGCGAGUGGAAUUCCUGGUGUAGCGGUGGAAUGCGCAGAUAUCAGGAGGAACACCAAUGGCGAAGGCAGCACUCUGGGACGUGACUGACGCUGAGACGCGAAAGCGUGGGGAGCAAACAGG
rnacentral:rRNA from 1 species